rnacentral:rRNA from 1 species
CAGUCGCCGCGGGAACACGGAGGAUCCGAGCGUUAUCCGGAAUUAUUGGGUUUAAAGGGUGCGUAGGCGGAUAGAUAAGUCAGUGGUGAAAGACGGUGGCUCAACCAUCGCAGUGCCGUUGAUACUGUUUAUCUUGAAUAUGGAUGAGGUAGGCGGAAUGUGGCAAGUAGCGGUGAAAUGCAUAGAUAUGCCACAGAACACCGAUUGCGAAGGCAGCUUACCAAGGCAAAAUUGACGCUGAGGCACGAAAGCGUGGGGAUCGAACAGGAUUAGAUACCCCUGUAGUCCCUGUCUCUUAUAC